GAUGAACGCUAGCUACAGGCUUAACACAUGCAAGUCGAGGGGAAACGACAUCGAAAGCUUGCUUUUGAUGGGCGUCGACCGGCGCACGGGUGAGUAACGCGUAUCCAACCUGCCCAUCACUUGGGGAUAACCUUGCGAAAGUAAGACUAAUACCCAAUGAUAUCUCUAGAAGAAAUCUGAAAGAGAUUAAAGAUUUAUCGGUGAUGGAUGGGGAUGCGUCUGAUUAGCUUGUUGGCGGGGUAACGGCCCACCAAGGCAACGAUCAGUAGGGGUUCUGAGAGGAAGGUCCCCCACAUUGGAACUGAGACACGGUCCAAACUCCUACGGGAGGCAGCAGUGAGGAAUAUUGGUCAAUGGGCGAGAGCCUGAACCAGCCAAGUAGCGUGCAGGAAGACGGCCCUAUGGGUUGUAAACUGCUUUUAUAAGGGAAUAAAGUGGGAGUCGUGACUCUUUUUGUAUGUACCUUAUGAAUAAGGACCGGCUAAUUCCGUG
rnacentral:rRNA from 1 species